AGCAGCCGCGGUAAUUCCAGCUCCAAUAGCGUAUAUUAAAGUUGUUGCAGUUAAAAAGCUCGUAGUUGAAUUUUGGGUUUGGCCAAUUGGUCCGUGCUUGUAACGAGUACUGGUUGGUUGGGCCUCACCGCCUGGUGAUACGUAAUGUCCUUUAUUGGGUGUUGCGAGUAGCCAGGACCUUUACCUUGAAAAAAUUAGAGUGUUUAAAGCAGGCUUAUGCCGGAAUACAUUAGCAUGGAAUAAUAGAAUAGGACGAUGAUUCUAUUUUGUUGGUUUCUAGGAGCAUCGUAAUGAUUAAUAGGGAUAGUUGGGGGCAUUAGUAUUCAAUUGUCAGAGGUGAAAUUCUUGGAUUUAUUGAAGACUAACUACUGCGAAAGCAUUUGCCAAGGAUGUUUUCAUUAAUCAAGAACGAAAGUUAGGGGAUCGAAGACGAUCAGAUACCGUCGUAGUCUUAACCAUAAACUAUGCCGACUAGGGAUCGGGCGAUGUUGUUUCAAUGACUCG
rnacentral:rRNA from 1 species